UACGGAGGGUGCGAGCGUUGUUCGGAAUUACUGGGCGUAAAGGGCGCGUAGGCGGCCUUCUAAGUCAGACGUGAAAUCCCCCGGCUUAACCUGGGAACUGCGUCUGAUACUGGGAGGCUUGAGUAUGGGAGAGGGAUGUAGAAUUCCAGGUGUAGCGGUGAAAUGCGUAGAUAUCUGGAGGAAUACCGGUGGCGAAGGCGGCAUCCUGGACCAUAACUGACGCUGAGGCGCGAAAGCUAGGGGAGCAAACGGG
rnacentral:rRNA from 1 species